rnacentral:lncRNA from 1 species
AUAUGGAGCGAUUUCCGUAACCCGUAUACACUCGCACUAGUCACUGGGUACCGCGCGCGCGCCUCGUCGCGCGUCGGGGCCACCUCUGCCAACAGGCCAACACCUAAACAAACAACAACAACAACCUGAGAUUUUCCCACAUUUUCUCAGAUAUUAUCGGAUAUUAUUUCUGUUCCCGCUCAAAUCAUGUAUUCGUAUUGAAUUGUACCUGCACGUGCAAGAAACUCAUUUCUGGAAUGAUGACGAGUCCAUCUGUUAAUCGCACGCAUAUGUAUGUGUCUUUUCAUCGAAAAGAAGAUGACCCUUCUGGCAUCCUAAUCUCAUCAGUGAAAACGGUACUUUUCAGUACCAUGGUAAAUGUGCUUCUUUUUCUUCUCUUCGCGUAUACUUCGUAGUUUGUAUUCUGUCCUUUUAUCUUUCUCUAUCUGGCAAUACUAUCUUCUAUUUUUUAGUUGCUAUGUAGAAAAGGGAGUUUUUGUUUCCAUCCUUCUGUAAUCUAUCGUGACUGAACAUUCUUCAUUUCAAUCUAAGGCAGGGUGAAAUAUUUGUUUUGUCUACCACAGAAGUCUCGAAGGCACUUAUGAGAAGUAUUUUUAAUAUUUGAGAGAUCUUACAAAUGUCUAGGUUGUAAGUCUUUAUGUUCUAUGUUUCUUUUUUGGCAGUGAGAAUAAUGCCUGAAAACAUAUGAAUACAUUAGAAUUUCGACUUUUCAAUCCUGCAUAAACCAUCAUCUGAAAAUUUAAUACAUAAAGUACGGUAAUAUUCUCCAGAGAGAUUAAAAAAUAUUUGGUUGAUGUUCUUCCAGAACAUAGUAUUAAUUCUCACUUAUUUGUUUCGCAGGAAAAAAGGUUCCCAGGUCUGUUUUCAAGAUUUGAGAAGAAAUGAGUGACCGAAAUAAAUCGUUCAGCCAGAAGGAUGUGGCUAAUCUCCUAAAACGCCUCGCAGAAAAUCCUGCUGCCCUUGAAGCCUGCCUAAAUGAUUCAGGCAACUCUUCCAGGCAUGUUGCAGGAAAUGAUUCAUUGCCAUCAACGCCAUCGUUUUCAGGCAACACUUCCAGGCAUGUUACAAAUUUAAUGUUUAAUUUAUUUUUUUAAUUUUAAAUAAUUUUUUUUCUAAAUUUUGUUUUUCUACAUUUUCAUUUUUUCAGGUUACAUCAACCCAAUAAAAUGAAAGAUACUCAAAAUGGAAAACCAAACCUAAUAGAGAAUACAAAAUGGGAAGAACAAGAGAAAACUUAAGGAAUUAACCCCAAAAUAUUGAUAAACAAGAUAAAUAAAAAUAAAGAAAUAAACAAAAAUACACUGACCUUUAUUUUACUCCAAGAAUAAAAGUUAAUAAACUCUUUAGUGAAAAAAGAUAACAAACAAAUAUACAACAAAUUGUAACCAACAGUUUUUUUUUUUUUUUAAUUUUUUUCAUAGAAAUUAAUUUUAAAUCGGAGUUUAGUUAAUCGGGAAAUGUUUCAUUGCCAUCAACGCCGUCAUUUAUAUCUCGUCCCAGGCCUUCAAGUAGUGUCAGCUGCUCCACUCCCAUUAUUCCAAACAACAAUUUUUCUUUUUCAUUAGCAAAGCAUAAAAAUCAGAAGAAUCAGAAGGAGUAGUACCCAGAUUUUACCAGAAAGGUCAUAUUAGUAGACAAAAACUGCCGAACAACUCCGGUCGGAGAAGAGUUAAAGAACUAUAGGUCACAAAACGGAUUUGUGACACCAGUAUUUUUGAAAAAAAAUGGUCUGAAACCCAGGUGAAGAUCACAUCAGGACUAUUUUUAAGUCACAUAUUGAUGAAGAGGAAGACUUCGAAAUCCUGCAAGAUGAAGGAGGCGCUUUAGUCGAAAUCAAUCUUGCACCGGGGUUAUCCCUUACUGGCGACAUUUUAUCAAAGAAUAAGUUAACUGGAACAAUUUUGUAUGUUCGGAUCAUUGAAGGAGACUCAGAUACUGCCGAAUUGAAGGUUGUACCUUCCCCAAGUAAAAAUAACGAUUCAGAUGAUUCUUUAGAUUCAUCUGACUCUUAGUAGAGGUUGCCCCAACAGGUGGAACCAAUCCUUAAAAACAAAAAUUUGUUUGUUGCCAUUUUGUCAGAUUUACUGGGCUUCAGCUCGUUGAUGACUGCUUGGAGUUCAUCAUUAGUGAUCUGAUGAAAUUCAAAGCAAGAAGAAAUGGAGGGAUAACACCUAUUAAGUGUAUCAAGAGCUUCAGAGCUAUCUAUAGUAGGGGUCCAAUUAUAGUCAAAUUGGCAAAGAUCGUACUGAACUCAUUCGAAAUUUCACCUGGAGCCGUUAUCUCUUUUCCAUGGAUCUCAAUAGAUUGGAUCCAUGACUGAUGCUCAGCUUUUCUCCCCUCAUUAAUAAUACUCCAUAUUGAUUUUCUUCUGUUUCUUGAUCUUCUUAUUUUAAACGUACCCAUGCUGAAAAUAUCAAGAAAUUCGGUGUUAUAAGGAAAAAUUAAGGAAACACCUCUCAGGAAACUUUGUUGCAGGACUAGAAAAUUUAGUGUGCAUCAAAUCUUCCUCGUAGUCAUUCAGUCGAUUUCAUUUCUUGAAAUUUUGUUUGCUAUUUCUUUCUACACAAUAUUUCCACUUAAAUUUAAAAUGUCAUAUUAUUUACAUGCAAAAUCAAUAAGAAUUUUAUUUCAUGUGCCCCAAAAUUCAGAAAAUACCUAUCAAACAUCAGGAAAAAUUGGAAAUCAUCAGGAAACUCCAAAAUGAAAUUAAAUUCUACGAAAUAAUAUGCAAGGAAUUAUCGAUAAAAUACCGUGUAUGCAAACUCACUUGCACUUGACAUGUCUCCCAAGGUGCAUUUCGGAGCUCCCUGGCUCCAUCAUCCGACAUUUUGAGGGAACUCAACUUUUCCCUUAAAAUGGCUAAUGAUGAAGAUAGGGGUCUCCAAAGCACAUCCUGUCAAUCAUUUAAAGCGUAAGUGAGUUCGUCAUAGUUUAAACAUGUCGUCCAAUAUAAAACUUGCUACUCAGUUGAUGACAUUUUUUGUGUUU